CAUCAAACAUGUUGAGAAAAUCCAACGGAUCAGUAGUCCCAUCAAACAGCUCUAUCGAGGGUAUCUUUAAGUUCAUAUCUACUUUUGCAUUCUCGAUAUCCUCUAAUAACGGGCUGAUGGCCGCAGCCUCUACUCCACCAGCCUGAGACUUCACCAACUCUCUGAGGGCCGCCAUUUCGGCUCUCAGCUUCACCAUUUCUGCAGACUCCUUUUUGCUUGAACCAUCCUCUUUCAAUUCCUCAUCCUCUAUCUUUUUCCGCCUUCGUGAGCUAUGUGAGCCUACUGAAUCCUCCUUCUUAGAGCGUUCGCUAUAUGCUGUGCUCUUU
rnacentral:lncRNA from 1 species